rnacentral:rRNA from 1 species
UACGUAGGGUGCGAGCGUUAAUCUGAAUCACUGGGCGUAAAGGGCGCGUAGGCGGCUCGGUCAGCGUGCGGUGAAAGCCCGGGGCUCAACCCCGGGUCGGCCGUGCGAACUGCUGGGCUGGAGCACUGUGGAGGCAGGUGGAAUUCCGGGUGUAGCGGUGGAAUGCGUAGAGAUCCGGAAGAACACCGGUGGCGAAGGCGGCCUGCUGGGCAGUAGCUGACGCUGAUGCGCGACAGCGUGGGGAGCAAACAGG